AUCACUUCUCAGCCUUUUGGCUAAGAUCAAGUGUAGUAUCAAAUACAGUGUUAUGAAGUAAAUAUCAUCUUAGAUUAAGAGAUGAAGAUUAAUUAAAUGUCAAGUUCUCUUCUUUUUUAUUUUCUAUUUUAGUCAUCUCAUCAUCAUCAUCAUCUGGGCUGUCUUUCCCGGGGCCCCUCGGAGGGGGUGGACUCCAG